rnacentral:tRNA from 1 species
GCUCCGAUAGUGUAGCACGGCCAAUCAUGUCAGACUCUCACUCUGACGACCUGGGUUCAAAUCCCAGUCGGAGCA